UGCGUAGGCGGUCUUUCAAGUCCGUUGUGAAAGCCCCGGGCUCAACCUGGGAAUGGCAGUGGAAACUAGAAGACUUGAAUCUGGCAGAGGGGGGUGGAAUUCCACGUGUAGCAGUGAAAUGCGUAGAGAUGUGGAGGAACACCGAUGGCGAAGGCAGCCCCCUGGGCUGAGAUUGACGCUCAGGCACGAAAGCGUGGGGGAGCAAACA
rnacentral:rRNA from 1 species